rnacentral:rRNA from 1 species
CACGCUGUAAACGAUGAUUACUCGAUGUUGGCGAUACACAGUCAGCGUCUAAGGGAAACCAAUAAGUAAUCCACCUGGGGAGUACGAUCGCAAGAUUGAAACUCAAAGGAAUUGACGGGGGCCCGCACAAGCGGAGGAGCAUGUGGUUUAAUUCGAUGAUACGCGAGGAACCUUACCUGGGCUAGAACGUAGAGAGACUAUAGGAGAAACCUUAUAUCCCUUCGGGGCUGUCUACGAGGUGC